GUGGGGAAUCUUCCGCAAUGGACGAAAGUCUGACGGAGCAACGCCGCGUGAACGAUGACGGCCUUCGGGUUGUAAAGUUCUGUUAUACGGGACGAAUGGUACGACGGCCAAUACCCGUCGUAAGUGACGGUACCGUAAGAGAAAGCCACGGCUAACUACGUGCCAGCAGCCGCGGUAAUACGUAGGUGGCAAGCGUUGUCCGGAAUUAUUGGGCGUAAAGGGCGCGCAGGCGGCGUCGUAAGUCGGUCUUAAAAGUGCGGGGCUUAACCCCGUGAGGGGACCGAAACUGCGAUGCUAGAGUAUCGGAGAGGAAAGCGGAAUUCCUAGUGUAGCGGUGAAAUGCGUAGAUAUUAGGAGGAACACCAGUGGCGAAAGCGGCUUUCUGGACGACAACUGACGCUGAGGCGCGAAAGCCAGGGGAGCAAACGGGAUUAGAUACCCCAGUAGUCC
rnacentral:rRNA from 1 species